rnacentral:misc_RNA from 1 species
CCUCCUUAAAAAAUAAACGUUUGUUAUAGGCGUUCACACGAAUUACUUAUUUGUCUUCUUCUUUGAAUUGAGAUGAAAGACGAGUUCUUUAAAAUUUUUAUAAGUUCAAUCAAGUCAUAUCUAAACAUUAUUGUUUUGAUAUGCAAAUUAACUACUCAUAUAAGGUUUAAUUAUUCUUUUAAUCCGAAACCUUAAAUGAGUAACUGCAAAGUAAUUUGGCGUUAUAGUAGAUAGAAAUACUUGAAAUUAUCAUUAAGUUAAUUGAUGUAAUAUGGUCAAGUAAUGAAGUGCAAACGGUGGAUGCCUUGGCAGCUAGAGGCGAUGAAGGACGUAGUAACUUGCGAUAAGCUUCGGGGAGUCGGUAACAGGCUUUGAUCCGGAGAUUUCCGAAUGGGA